UACGUAGGGUGCUAGCGUUGUCCGGAUUUAUUGGGCGUAAAGAGCGUGUAGGCGGCCAAGCAGGUCCGCUGUGAAAACUCGAGGCUCAACCUCGAGACGUCGGUGGAAACCGUUUGGCUAGAGUCCGGAAGAGGAGAGUGGAAUUCCCGGUGUAGCGGUGAAAUGCGCAGAUAUCGGGAAGAACACCCGUGGCGAAGGCGGCUCUCUGGGACGGUACUGACGCUGAGACGCGAAAGCGUGGGGAGCGAACAGG
rnacentral:rRNA from 1 species